rnacentral:rRNA from 1 species
GACGAACGCUGGCGGCGUGCUUAACACAUGCAAGUCGAACGGAAAGGCCCUGCUUUUGUGGGGUGCUCGAGUGGCGAACGGGUGAGUAACACGUGAGUAACCUGCCCUUGACUUUGGGAUAACUUCAGGAAACUGGGGCUAAUACCGGAUAGGAGCUCCUGCUGCAUGGUGGGGGUUGGAAAGUUUCGGCGGUUGGGGAUGGACUCGCGGCUUAUGAGCUUGUUGGUGGGGUAGUGGCUUACCAAGGCCUUGACGGGUAGCCGGCCUGAGAGGGUGACCGGCCACAGUGGGACUGAGAUACGGCCCAGACUCCUACGGGAGGCAGCAGUGGGGAAUAGUGCACAAUGGGCGGAAGCCUGAUGCAGCAACGCCGCGUGCGGGAUGACGGCCUUCGGGUUGUAAACCGCUUUCGCCUGUGACGAAGCGUGAGUGACGGGAAUGGGUAAAGAAGCACCGGCUAACUACGUG